CCUACGGGUGGCAGCAGUGGGGGAUAUUGCACAAUGGGGGAAACCCUGAUGCAGCGACGCCGCGUGUGGGAAGACGGUCCUCUGGAUUGUAAACCACUGUCCCCAGGGACGAAGAUGACGGUACCUGGGGAGGAAGCUCCGGCUAACUACGUGCCAGCAGCCGCGGUAAUCCGUAGGGAGCGAGGGUUGUCCGGUAUUACUGGGUGUAAAGGGAGCGUAGGCGGGGCUGCAAUUUGGGGGGAAAAUCAACCGGGUCAACCGGUAACCGCACUCGAAACUGGAGUUCUUGAGUGCAGUAGAGGCAGGCGGAAUUCCUAGUGUAGCGGUGAAAUGCGUAGAUAUUAGGAGGAACACCAGUGGCGAAGGCGGCCUACUGGACUUUAACUGACGCUGAGGCUCGAAAGUGUGGGGAGCAAACAGGAUUAGAUACCCCAGUAGUC
rnacentral:rRNA from 1 species